rnacentral:pre_miRNA from 1 species
UGGCGCAGGAGGAGGGACGGUUACUCCCAUCAUCCUGGCCUUCUUGCGGUAGACCGGACACCGCCUAUCAACGGCGGCGUGGUCCUUCCCGCAAUUGGCGCAGGAGAAUGGGCCGUCCCUCGGCCUCGGGCA